rnacentral:lncRNA from 1 species
CCCAGCAUGCAUUUAUCCAGGCUUUACCAGGGGACUUCUGCUUCCAGCAGCCAGGAUGGAGGAAUAAGAGAGGAUCUGAGCUUCCCCAAACCCACCUGCAAACAACCACAAAAAGAGAAAAAGGUCCCCAAACCUUUACUAUGGCUAAGAAUUGGGCCAAGCACUGUGGAUGUCAUAAAAGGCAAAAACAGUCCCUGCCUUCAAGAAGCUCCCACUCCAGGGAGGGAGAACCAGCAUCUGAGAAUCAUCCGUAUAGAGAUCAUGGAACUCGUGGGAUCUGAUAAAGUUACCAGAGUUGAUUGAAUGGUGAAUCUGAGAUGAACAUUUUCCACCUUUGGUGGCAGCCUUUGAGAAUUCCAGAGGUUGGCGUCCCUCAUUCGGAGAUGAGAGGCAGCAGAAAUAAUGUCCACACUGGGGAAGAUAACCACCCUCUGGAAGAUGAACCCACCACCCAGUCUCUCCUGCUAGAAGAUGAGAACCAAGAGGGAAUUGUUUAGAAAGUGCAAAAUGGAAGCAAAAUAUGAAAUGUUCAUUGAAAAGUUCAGCCAACUGCUUCAUAUUCUGAUGUUUACAUCUCAAUUUAAGUUUCAACUGGGAGAGUGUAAUCGUAGUUAUAAAGUCCUGUUGUUUCUUUACGUUUUUCUUCAAAUGUGUCCUUAUGGUUCUUCAUAUGUUCAGACUUUCUUUUGUGUGAAGGAAUAAAUAGAUGUUCAUACCAAGAGGGAAAAAAUUU